ACCUUUUCUCCGAGGCUCAAAUCAAGGUUCUACGGAUAAUUUCGAUAAAAAGGUCAGCUUGAAAGGCUCAAACGGUUCAAAGAAGGCCCAAAUCAUAUCCCAAAUCACUCACUACUCAAUACUUCGUAUCAUAAAUUUCCUAAGGUGAGUUCUAAAACCGAACAUAGCAUGAUCUAGCACAAAUAAAUUCCAAAUUUAAAAUACAAAACAUUCAACCAAAGCAAUGCACAAAAUGUGAUUC
rnacentral:lncRNA from 1 species